CAGCGGCCAGCAGUCCUCGUUAGCUGCGCGAGAUGCGUUGGAGGUCGGCGGUUGGCGGCGAGUAGAUCGGUCACCCAUCCGACCCGUCUUGAAACACGGACCAAGGAGUCUAACAUGUGUGCGAGUCAAUGGGUCUCGAAUAAGCCCAGAGGCGCAAUGAAAGCAAAGGCCGGACUAGUUCCGGUCAGGUUGGGAUCCCCGGGCCUACGAGCUCGGGGCGCACCAACGACCCGUCCUAUCCGAUUCAUCGGUUGGGCGGAGUCUGAGCAUACACGUUGGGACCCGAAAGAUGGUGACCUAUGCCCGGGCAGGACGAGGCCAGAGGAAACUCUGGUGGAGGUCCGCAGCGGUUCUGACGUGCAAAUCGA
rnacentral:rRNA from 1 species